AACGAACGCUAUCGGUAUGCUUAACACAUGCAAGUCGGACGGACUAAUUAGGGCUUGCUCCAAUUAGUUAGUGGCAGACGGGUGAGUAACACGUGGGAAUCUGCCCAUCAGUACGGAAUAACUUUUAGAAAUAAAAGCUAAUACCGUAUAUUCUCUACAAAGGAAAGAUUUAUCGCUGAUGGAUGAGCCCGCGUCAGAUUAGGUAGUUGGUGAGGUAACGGCUCACCAAGCCGACGAUCUGUAGCUGGUCUGAGAGGAUGAUCAGCCACACUGGGACUGAGACACGGCCAGACUCCUACGGGAGGCAGCAGUGGGGAAUAUUGGACAAUGGGCGAAAGCCUGAUCCAGCAAUACCGAGUGAGUGAUAAAGGCCCUAGGGUUGUAAAGCUCUUUUAGCAAGGAAGAUAAUGACGUUACUUGCAGAAAAAGCCCCGGCUAACUCCGUG
rnacentral:rRNA from 1 species